GACGAACGCUGGCGGCGUGCUUAACACAUGCAAGUCGAACGAAGUGGCGAACGGGUGAGUAACGCGUAAUCAACCUGCCCUUCAGUGGGGGACAACAGUUGGAAACGACUGCUAAUACCGCAUACUGAAGGAGGGGAUUGUGUGUGAUUAGCUAGUUGGAGGGGUAACGGCCCAACAAGGCGAAUAUCAGUAGACGGUCGGGGGGGAUGAACCGCCAAAAUGGGACUGGGACACGGCCCAGACUCCUACGGGAGGCAGCAGUGGGGAAUCUUCCGCAAUGGACGAAAGUCUGACGGAGCAACGGCGCGUGGGUGGUAGCGGCCUUCGGGUUGUAAAGCUCUGUUAAUCGGGACGCGGUACCGAAAUAGAAAGCCACGGCUAACUACGUGCCAGCAGCCGCGGUAAUUC
rnacentral:rRNA from 1 species